UGGGCUACACACGUGCUACAAUGGACAAUACAAAGGGCAGCGAAACCGCGAGGUCAAGCAAAUCCCAUAAAGUUGUUCUCAGUUCGGAUUGUAGUCUGCAACUCGACUACAUGAAGCUGGAAUCGCUAGUAAUCGUAGAUCAGCAUGCUACGGUGAAUACGUUCCCGGGUCUUGUACACACCGCCCGUCACACCACGAGAGUUUGUAACACCCGAAGCCGGUGGAGUAACCUUUUAGGAGCUAGCCGUCGAAGGUGGGACAAAUGAUUGGGGUGAAGUCGUAACAAGGUAGCCGUAUCGGAAGGUGCGGCUGGAUCACCUCCUUUCUAAGGA
rnacentral:rRNA from 1 species